GAUGAACGCUGGCGGCGUGCCUAAUACAUGCAAGUCGAGCGAACGGACGAGGAGCUUGCUUCUCUGAUGUUUGGGGCGGGCGGGUGAGUCACACGUGGAUACCCUACCUAUAAGACUGGUAAAAUUUCGGGAAAGCGGAGCUAAUACCGGAUAAUCUUUUGAACCGCGUGGUUCAAAAGAGAAAGACGGUCUUUCUGUAACUUCUAGCUGGAUACGCGCUGGAUGAGCUAGUUGGUAAGGUCACGGCGUAUCAAGGCAACGAUGCGUGGCCGACCUGAGAGGGGGAUCGCCGACACGAGAGCUGGAACGGGGUCCAUACGCCUACGGGAGGGAGCAGUAUGGAAUCGUCGGCAAUGGGCGAAAGCCUGACGGAGCGGCCCCGCGUGAGUGACGAAGGUCUUCGGAUCGUAAUACUCUGUUAUUGGUGAAGAACAGAUGUGUAAGGAACCGUGCACAGCUUGACGGUACCGAAUCAGAAAGCCCCGGCUAACUACGUG
rnacentral:rRNA from 1 species